rnacentral:rRNA from 1 species
GAUGAACGCUGGCGGCGUGCUUAACACAUGCAAGUCGAACGGAAAGGCCCAAGCUUGCUUGGGUACUCGAGUGGCGAACGGGUGAGUAACACGUGGGUGAUCUGCCCUGCACUUCGGGAUAAGCCUGGGAAACUGGGUCUAAUACCGGAUAGGACGAUGGCUUGGAUGCCAUUGUGGAAAGUUUUUUCGGUGUGGGAUGAGCUCGCGGCCUAUCAGCUUGUUGGUGGGGUAAUGGCCUACCAAGGCGUCGACGGGUAGCCGGCCUGAGAGGGUGUACGGCCACAUUGGGACUGAGAUACGGCCCAGACUCCUACGGGAGGCAGCAAUGGGGAAUAUUGCACAAUGGGCGCAAGCCUGAUGCAGCGACGCCGCGUGGGGGAUGACGGCCUUCGGGUUGUAAACUCCUUUCGCUAGGGACGAAGCGUUUUUGUGACGGUACCUGGAGAAGAAGCACCGGCUAACUACGUG